UCACUCCACUAACAUCAAUGUUCGUUGAAGUAGCAAUAACAUAAGCUUGAUUAACACGUCUUAAAGGAACCCCAUUAAGCUUAAAAGGUCCAGUAACAAGAAGCAACCCAGAUAAAAGCUGUUUCAAGAACACAACUCUCUUCCCCUUAAAUCUACCAGCAAGGAUAAUCAACACUGUCCCUGGGGUAAUACUUGCUCUUAGCUUUGUGGGUUUUGGUUUGUGUUUGUUUACAAGGGGUUUUUUGACGUCAUCAGCUGGGUAGAAUUUUGGGGGUUUCUCAGUUGGUGGAAUUGAGAUUGGUUUUUUCUGGUGUUGAGGAAAUUUUCCACCGUUUUUCUUCUUGAUUGCCCAUAAACCCUUUUUGUGGUACAUUUUGGAACGUGAGAACUUUCCCACGCCACGAAUUAGCUCUGGGUUACGGAGUGACUUCUUGGCAGCCAUUGUUGAAGCUCUGUAAAGAAAGAGGGUUAACAGUAAACCUAGAAGAUUGCUAUAUACAGCUAGGGUUAAAUGUUGGUGCCAAAAUUAUCAGCUGUUCAUUUGGGCCUUUUUGGGCUUAACUUGGAUUUAAUGGAUCAUUANUAAGCUUCUAAGCUAAGAUGACCAGCUUCGGGACUUCUCCAUAUCCAUUUUAAAAAGGGAAUAACUCUAUAUCUGUUCCAUAACUACAACAAGUAUAGGAAAUGUAAGAAGUUCGGUAAGCAGAUAAGUCCACAGAAGAACGACAACCGGCCAGUAAACCACUCAAAUUGAAUUCAUUUAGCUACAGCCACAUCGGCAAUCAAGAUCUUGGGUACUGAAUUUCACCCUUCUCUUGGUACAUGUAGCUUUCAAUCAAGCACUACAAUCUCCAUCAUUUAUUGAAAAAUUCACAGUGGCUGCAUGUUCAUUCAUAAGUACAAGAGCACACGAGAUCUGUCAACAUCAUAUAAGUCAAUAUAUCUCGCCGUAACUUUAGAAGAUUAAGAAUGUUCUAAUAUAAGAUAAUUCAACCAAUAUCAAUAUUCACAACCUCAUUAGCAAAUCACAGUUCCAUGAGUUCGGCAUAUCCAUUUCUCCAAGCCCAUUUCGUUCCAUCACAGAGCUACAUGAACUCUCCUCAUCCACUUCACUCUAGUUGCAUCCAUUGUAUUAAAAUUUGUCUUUUUAAGGUAAAUUUGAAUCUCUUGAGUAUACUUUAGCACACAAUUAGGAUUCAAUACAUUCCAACAUUGCUAAAACUUUGUCAUUUGAGUAAAUCUAAAGGCAAACAUUCGAACUUUAAACUGAAGCCAAUUAAUCCAAACCAGAAAAUGAACAAACUAACCUCUUUCUUCUCCUCAAAAAACUCCCCUUCACCCUUCUUCUUCUUCUUCUCAGCUUCCUUAGCAAAAUACUUGUCAUCAAUCUUCUCAACAUUCACUCCACUAACAUCAAUGUUCGUUGAAGUAGCAAUAACAUAAGCUUGAUUAACACGUCUUAAAGGAACCCCAUUAAGCUUAAAAGGUCCAGUAACAAGAAGCAACCCAGAUAAAAGCUGUUUCAAGAACACAACUCUCUUCCCCUUAAAUCUACCAGCAAGGAUAAUCAACACUGUCCCUGGGGUAAUACUUGCUCUUAGCUUUGUGGGUUUUGGUUUG
rnacentral:lncRNA from 1 species